rnacentral:rRNA from 1 species
GACGAACGCUGGCGGCGUGCUUAACACAUGCAAGUCGAACGGAAAGGCCCUGCUUUUGUGGGGUUCUCGAGUGGCGAACGGGUGAGUAACACGUGAGUAACCUGCCCUUGACUUUGGGAUAACUUCAGGAAACUGGGGCUAAUACCGGAUAGGAUCUCCUGCUGCAUGGUGGGGGUUGGAAAGUUUCGGCGGUUGGGGAUGGACUCGCGGCUUAUCAGCUUGUUGGUGGGGUAGUGGCUUACCAAGGCUUUGACGGGUAGCCGGCCUGAGAGGGUGACCGGCCACAUUGGGACUGAGAUACGGCCCAGACUCCUACGGGAGGCAGCAGUGGGGAAUAUUGCACAAUGGGCGGGAGCCUGAUGCAGCAACGCCGCGUGCGGGAUGACGGCCUUCGGGUUAUAAACCGCUUUCGCCUGAGACGAAGCGUGAGUGACGGUAAUGAGUAAAGAAGCACCGGCUAACUACGUG